rnacentral:rRNA from 1 species
CCUACGGGAGGCAGCAGUGGGGAAUUUUGGACAAUGGGCGCAAGCCUGAUCCAGCAAUGCCGCGUGGGUGAAGAAGGCCUUCGGGUUGUAAAGCUCUUUUGUCAGGGAAGAAACGGCUGAGGUUAAUACCUUCGGCUAAUGACGGUACCUGAAGAAUAAGCACCGGCUAACUACGUGCCAGCAGCCGCGGUAAUACGUAGGGUGCAAGCGUUAAUCGGAAUUACUGGGCGUAAAGCGUGCGCAGGCGGUUUUGUAAGUCUGACGUGAAAUCCCCGGGCUCAACCUGGGAAUUGCGUUGGAGACUGCAAGGCUGGAGUCUGGCAGAGGGGGGUAGAAUUCCACGUGUAGCAGUGAAAUGCGUAGAGAUGUGGAGGAACACCGAUGGCGAAGGCAGCCCCCUGGGUCAAGACUGACGCUCAUGCACGAAAGCGUGGGGAGCAAACAGGAUUAGAUACCCUGGUAGUCCACGCCCUAAACGAUGUCUACUAGUUGUCGGGUCUUAAUUGACUUGGUAACGCAGCUAACGCGUGAAGUAGACCGCCUGGGGAGUACGGUCGCAAGAUUAAAACUCAAAUGAAAUUGACGG